AUACUCAGAAUUGGAAGGUGUUUCAAUGUAACAACUUCUCAAGACAGUUGGAAGAACAGGAAACAUCUACACCAUCAUUAUUCACGCUGUGAAUCUGUGAAGGACGAUGGAGACUGUUGAAAAGAUACUUGAGGAUUCCCUCAGAGACAUGGUAAAUGCUGACAUGGAAGAGUUCAUUCGGCGCUUAGCGAAAGAUCACAAGUGUAUAUCAAGGUCUGAUACAGAGAAUGCAAGUAGGUUAAAAACUGUGGAUAUUAUGGUGGAGCGUUUUGGACCAGAAAAAGCUGUGAAGAUCACUGUGGAGAUCCUGAGGAAGAUGCACAGGACUAAUCCGGCUAAUCAGCUGGAGAAAGAAUACAACAAAGCUCAGGCUGAGGGCAGUGGCGAGUGUCCUGAGCCAAAACCGACCGGAGAAACUGAUGACAUGACCAAGAACAUCUUCCUACAAUAUUACCAUCAGUUCACUGCGGAUCCGAACACAGUGAAUAAACAACUCCAACUGUCUGUGAGGAACACAGUGAUUACUUACACUGACACACCACAGUCGUAUCCUGAUAAUCCUGAAAGAUUUGAUUAUUAUCCUCUGGUGUUGUGUAGAGAGAGUGUGAAUGAUCGACGCUGUUACUGGGAGACUGAGUGUUUUGGAGAUGUGUAUAUAGCAGUGUCAUAUAAGAGCAUCACCAGGAAGGGAACGGCUUAUGACAGCUGGUUUGGAUAUAAUGAUAAGUCCUGGAGUUUGAUGUGCUCUCCCUCCAGUUACGCAUUCAUGCACAACAGCAAACAGACUAGUAUCUCUCUAAAGCCCACCAGCGGCAGAGUAGGAGUGUAUGUGGAUCACAGAGCAGGAACUCUGUCCUUCUACAACUUCUCUGGAGACACAAUGAUCCCUAUCCACACAGUCCAGACCACAUUCACUCAACCACUCUAUCCUGGGUUUAGGGUUGGUAAUGGAUCAGUGAAACUGUUGAUGAAACAGGUUCUAUAGAGAUAUUACCCAUAAUGCUUUGGGCUCAUGAUAGAUCAGUAACAGUGAGAUGUUAUAGAGUCUCUUAUUUUCUCUUCAUUAUAUUAAUUACUACAGCUGAACAUCUGUCAGUGAAAUAAUGUCAGAAUAAAUGACAAUAAAUCCUCAUAUGGAUCAGUGUGUGUGUGUGUUUUCUCAAGUUUAUGGUGAUGGAAAUGAGUUUUUAUUAUAGUGUCACUCAAUCAUUUAUCAUGUGUGUAGAACUGAGAUUAGCUGAACAUCUGAACAUCUGUCCUCAUAUGGAUCAGUUUGUGUGUUUUCUCAAGUUUAUGGUGAUGGAAAUGAGUUUUUAUUAUAGUGUCACUCAAUCAUUUAUCAUGUGUGUAGAAUUGAGAUUAGUUGAACAUGUUUUAAUCAGAUGUAUUUCAGGGGUUCAAGCGCUGAAGCUGCAGCAUCAUUAUUGUGUUUGUGCUGUUUAUCAAUGAUUGUUUUUCUGCUCUAAACAUGUCUGUACGUCACUGAGGAAAUAAUAAAAACUUCUUCUGGACUGUUGGUGUUG